AAGGAAGGGCAUUAUGCUUGGUGUGAAGAUACCUUUAAAAUGGAGUGAGAUUUGUACUCAGGAAAGAAUCCCUCAAUGGCUAGUCCUGGUAAGUUUAUAUCCUUCAUAACAGAUGUGUCUAUAUAAUCUGUGUAUGUCUCUAAAGAAAAUGAACUUAGAAACCAAAGGCGAUCUAAGUAAUUGUGUCUAUAGAUACAGUUAUUUUACUGUCUGUAGAUGGCAUGGUAUUUCCAGCCACCUCCACCAAUUACAGCAGAUUGAUCAACGCCAUCUAUUCUACAGAGUCCUCUAUUUCUCUCACACUUCUGCCAUGUCUUUCAGCUAAAUGCAAAAAGAAAAAUUGAGAGAAAGAAGACUUACAAAUUUGAAUUUCCGUGUUUCCACUUUUCAUCCUUAUUUUACAGUCGAUUAAUGAGUCCAUAAAUGAACGUUUUGUUCUCCACCAUUUUAAUUUAACUUUUGUUCUCCUCUGAUGUAAACUUUAAUUGUUUAAGUACUGUAUCUAGUUUUAUGACAAUUAUUGUUUUCAGUUUCACUUCAGUGAGUGUCUUCACUCAUACAUUUUAGAUUUAUUCAGUGAGGAGUUUGUCCACAGUAUACAUUCCAAAGAAGUAUUACUUUA
rnacentral:lncRNA from 1 species